GAAUUAUAAAAAUUGCUGUUGGGAAGAACAAUAAAAGACAAUAUAAUGGAAAAUUUGGAAUUUUCAAUGUUUUAAAAUAUAGUGUUGUGUGUUGAAGAAUACUGAAGAAAUAGACAUGAGGUGGAUGUCUCCAUCCAAGAGCAGCUCACAACAUGACAGAUGUGACAUUCCAUCAACUCUGCAGCCUUCUUCUCAACAGAAGCAAGUCACAAAAUCCAGCUUCACUUAAGCAUCACCCAAGACACAACGUCAAAUCUGCAACAUUGAAAUAUGGUCUUUGGAAGAUGGGUGCCAGGAUUUUGAACUUCAGCAUCUUGAGAUUCUGCAGAAGAGUAAGCAAAAGCUGGGCAACAGACCAAAGUUCUGAUACAAUGGAGAUCAGGCGAUGUUUGAAUGCUCUCCCAGGAAAGAGCUGAACACCUGUGAACCUGAAAGUAGGGAUGGUAACUUCUGGAAGCAUGCCUCUGAGAAAGUGGCCCUGCAGACUCCUGAAUCUUGUGAUGUCUUCAUCUUUCCUGAUCAACUAAGAGACACUUUUCUUGUUUUUCUGCACAGUUAUGUUGAAUCAGAAUUCUGGAAGCACUGCCAAGUUUGGAAAGCUGCCAUGACUUGAAGCUGUCAGAGUCGGUGAUAAAGAUUCUCUUGUAGCUGUGGCAGUGAAAUCUGCUGCCAUAGGGCAUUCUCAUAUUUUCAGAUGGUCAUUCAAGACAUUAAGUGAAGACCUUGGUGUUCAGUUUAUCUGCUAAAUAACCAGGCAUCUUACAACUGUACCUGUACUAUGUAUGGAAAGUUGGUAUGUGCAGACCUACAUGUCAGUGAAGGCCCAGAGAAACCACUUAUUCAUACCAGGAACAGGGGCACUCCAGGAAAGCUGAGAUCUUGCUGCCUCAACUUCAAGUGAUGGGCAUAGGAUCUUCCUUUGCUCUUUGGAUGGAAAUUGAGGAAAUUUGUGGGAUACAGCUCACUGUGUGAUCUUUUCGUUUUCAUCUAUGUUUCGCCUUUCACCUAACCUCUGAUUUCCAGUUCAAUUCAGUUUCAUUAUUUUUUUGGUUUUGUAAAU